rnacentral:rRNA from 1 species
ACGGGGUGCAGCAGGCGCGAAAUCUUCACAAUGUGCGAAAGCACGAUGAGGGAAUCCCAAGUGCUAGCACGUAAGUGUUAGCUGUUUCUUAGUCUAAAAAACUCAGAGAGUAAGGGCUGGGUAAGACGGGUGCCAGCCGCCGCGGUAAUACCUGCAGCUCAAGUGGUGGCCGCUAUUAUUGGGCCUAAAACGUCCGUAGCCUGUUUAGUAAAUGCUUGGGUAAAUUGUGUAACUUAACUAUACGAACACCGGGUAGACUGCUAAACUUGGGACCGGGAGAGGCUAGAGGUACUCCUAGGGUAGAGGUGAAAUUCUGUAAUCCUAGGGGGACCACCAGUGGCGAAGGCGUCUAGCUAGAACGGGUCUGACGGUGAGGGACGAAGCCCUGGGGCGCGAACCGGAUUAGAUACCCGGGUAGUCCAGGGUGUAAACGCUGCUUGCUUGAUGUUAGUUGGGCUCCGAGCCCAACUAGUGUCGGAGAGAAGUUGUUAAGCAAGCUGCCUGGAAGUACGUCGCAAGAC